UACGUAUGUCGCAAGCGUUGUCCGGAUUUAUUGGGCGUAAAGCGCGUCUAGGCGGUUUAGUAAGUCUGUUGUAAAAAUGCGGGGCUUAACCCCGUGUGGGGAUGGAAACUGCUAAACUAGAGUACUGGAGAGGUAGGUGGAAUUCCAAGUGUAGAGGUGAAAUUCGUAGAUAUUUGUAGGAAUACCGGUGGCGAAGGCGGCCUUCUGGACAGAAACUGACGCUGAGGCGCGAAAGCGAGGGGAGCAAACAGG
rnacentral:rRNA from 1 species